rnacentral:tRNA from 1 species
CCCGAAAUAGCUCAGUUGGAAGAGCGUUAGACUCUAGAUCGAAAGGUGCCUGGUUCGAUCCCGGGAUUCGGCA